GACGAACGCUGGCGGCGUGCUUAACACAUGCAAGUCGAACGGAAAGGCCCCUUUGGUGGUACUCGAGUGGCGCACGGGUGAGUAACACGUGAGUAACCUGCCCUUGACUUCGGGAUAACUUCAGGAAACUGGGGCUAAUACCGGAUAGGAAUCCUUGCUGCAUGGUGGGGGUUGGAAAGCUUCGGCGGUUUUGGAUGGACUCACGGCUUAUCAGCUUGUUGGUGGGGUAGUGGCUUACCAAGGCUUUGACGGGUAGCCGGCCUGAGAGGGCGACCGGCCACAUUGGGACUGAGAUACGGCCCCGACUCCUACGGGUGGGAGCAGUGGGGAAUAUUGCACAAUGGGCGGAAGCCUGAUGCAGCAACGCCGCGUGCGGGAUGACGGUCUUCGGGUUGUAAACCGAUUUCAGCAGGGGCGAAGCUUGUGGUGACGGUACCUGCAGAAGAAGCACCGGCUAACUACGUG
rnacentral:rRNA from 1 species